rnacentral:rRNA from 1 species
GACGAACGCUGGCGGCAUGCUUAACACAUGCAAGUCGUACGGUAAGGCCCUUUCGGGGGUACACGAGUGGCGAACGGGUGAGUAACACGUGAGUAACCUGCCCACAACUUUGGGAUAACGCUAGGAAACUGGUGCUAAUACUGGAUAUGUGCUCCUGCUGCAUGGUGGGGGUUGGAAAGCUCCGGCGGUUGUGGAUGGACUCGCGGCCUAUCAGCUUGUUGGUGGGGUAGUGGCCUACCAAGGCGGCGACGGGUAGCCGGCCUGAGAGGGUGACCGGCCACAUUGGGACUGAGAUACGGCCCAGACUCCUACGGGAGGCAGCAGUGGGGAAUAUUGCACAAUGGGCGCAAGCCUGAUGCAGCAACGCCGCGUGCGGGAUGACGGCCUUCGGGUUGUAAACCGCUUUCAGCAGGGACGAAGCUUUUUGUGACGGUACCUGCAGAAGAAGCACCGGCUAACUACGUG